rnacentral:rRNA from 1 species
AUUGAACGCUGGCGGCAUGCUUUACACAUGCAAGUCGAACGGGGUGAAGGGGCAACUCUUCAUUCAGUGGCGAACGGGUGAGUAAUACAUCGGAACGUACCCCGUAGUGGGGAGUAACUCGGCGAGAGCCGUCGCUAAUACCGCAUAUGCUCUACGGAGGAAAGCNGGGGACCGCAAGGCCUUGUGCUAUGGGAGCGGCCGAUGUCCGAUUAGCUAGUUGGUGAGGAAUGGCUCACCAAGGCGACGAUCAGUAGCUGGUCUGAGGAGGAUGAUCAGCCUCACUGGGACUGAGACA